rnacentral:misc_RNA from 1 species
AAGACUAUAGACCUGCGGAGUACCUGCGGAGGGAUCAUUACUGAGUUUCACAACUCUCUAACCCUGUGUGAACUGAAGUCUGGUUGCUCAGGCAGGCGGCCCCCGGGGGGAGCCGCAGCUUCUCUGAAGCGCCUGCCGGAGGAUACCUAAACUCGUUUUAACAUAUAAUCUUCUGAGUAAUAAAAAAAAAAUGAAUCAAAACUUUUAACAACGGAUCUCU